UCUCGGAGAUGAUUAGAGCGGCGGACGGGUGAGUAAUGCGUGGGAAUCUGGCUAGUAGUGGGGGAUAACUUGGGGAAACUCAAGCUAAUACCGCAUAAUAUCUUAGGAUUAAAGGGUGCCUCUUCGUGAAAGCACUUGCUAUUAGAUGAGCCCACGUCGGAUUAGCUAGUUGGUUGGGUAAAGGCUGACCAAGGCGACGAUCCGUAGCUGGUCUGGGAGGAUGAUCAGCCACACUGGGACUGAGACACGGCCCAGACUCCUACGGGAGGCAGCAGUGGGGAAUAUUGGACAAUGGGCGCAAGCCUGAUCCAGCCAUGCCGUGUGUGUGAAGAAGGCUUUAGGGUUGUAAAGCACUUUAAGUUGUGAGGAAGUGGCGCGGAUGAAUAGUUUGUGUCAUUGACGUUAGCGACAGAAUAAGCACCGGCUAACUCCGUGCCAGCAGCCGCGGUAAUACGGAGGGUGCGAGCGUUAAUCGGAAUUACUGGGCGUAAAGGGCGCGUAGGUGGUUUGGUAAGUUAGAUGUGAAAUUCCCGGGCUUAACCUGGGGUGGUCAUCUAAAACUGUCAGGCUAGAGUGCGAUAGAGGGGGGUAGAAUUUCCGGUGUAGCGGUGAAAUGCGUAGAGAUCGGAAGGAAUACCGGUGGCGAAGGCGGCCCCCUGGAUUGACACUGACGCUGAGGUGCGAAAGCGUGGGUAGCGAACAGGAUUAGAUACCCUGGUAGUCCACGCUGUAAACGAUGAGAACUAGCCGUUGGGGCAUUGAGUUCUGGUGGCGUAGCAAACGCGAUAAGUUCUCCGCCUGGGGAGUACGGCCGCAAGGUUAAAACUCAAAUGAAUUGACGGGGGCCCGCACAAGCGGUGG
rnacentral:rRNA from 1 species